CGCCCUGUACACGGGCCUGGCCGACGUGUAUCUGCCCGAGGCGCAGAUGGGGGCGCUGCUGGCCCUGUUCGAGUCCACGCCGGGCGA
rnacentral:tRNA from 3 species